rnacentral:rRNA from 1 species
UACGGGGGGUGCGAGCGUUGUCCGGAAUCACUGGGCGUAAAGGGCGCGUAGGUGGUUUGAUAAGGGUGUGGUGAAAGCCCGGAGCUCAACUCCGGGUCUGCCGUGCCGACUGUCAAACUCAAGGGCUGUAGAGGCAGACGGAAUUCCGGGUGUAGCGGUGGAAUGCGUAGAGAUCCGGAGGAAGACCGGUGGCGAAGGCGGUCUGCUGGGCAGUUUCUGACACUGAUG